rnacentral:misc_RNA from 1 species
AAGUCGUAACAAGGUUUCCGUAGGUGAAGUAUACGCUCGUUUGCCUACCGAAACUUUGCAGCAGCGACACUAAACAAUUGCUCCAGUCGGCCCCAUCAUGGGGUCCGGCGACGCCAUCAAUUUGCGCUGGGAGCUCCCUUCGGGGGACGCGACCAGCAGCUCGUAAAAGAGUUCACAGAUCAAACAAUGGCGGCCACUUUCGUGGUUCAGAUAUGACCGGCCCCAGCCUACAUGGCUGGCGAUUUUUGCGGAACCUGCGGAAGGAUCAUUACCGAGAGAGGGGCUUCGCGCUCCCGGGGG